GGGACAUCUGAUGAAGCAGCCUGGGAGGGAGGUUCAAAGCUUCAAGAGAUCUCAGUGUAUCUCAGCUGGAGCCCCGGUAGAGUUUUGGGGUGGGGCAGGAGAAUGCAAGUGGGUCAGGAAGCAGAGAGCAAGGCAGAGCCAGAGAGACUCCAUCUAAAGGUUUCACACCCUUCCUCCAAACGCACCUCGAGCUAGUGACUGAACACUCAACUCCUGAGCCUUUGGGCACAUUUCAGGUUCAAACAAUAGAGUGGUUAGUUUAGGGUUAGAGGCAGAGAGAAGAGAGGGGGUGGGUAGGAGGAGCUGGUCAUGUGGAGGGGAGUUGAAAAUUCCAGUUAGGUAAACUGAGUAAAGGCUAGGUAAAUAAACAAAACAAAACAAUGAGAGAUGCUGUGGUCGGGAAGAGUAAACAGGUUUGCUGGACCACAAGAGGUGAGAUUGGAGCCAGAUUAUGGAAAUACUUUGCUAAGAACUUUGGAUUUCGUUCUUUGAUUGACAGGCGGCCACUUGCAUUUUCUAAGCCCGACCUGAAGGCCAUUGGCUCAGUGACUGUCUAGGAAGACGGCUUCAGUGGUUGCAUGGAGAGACUAGCAGCGUAUAAGCCGGGCUGCUACUUCUGUCCACUGGGAAGGAUGCUGAGGAUGGAUGGAGGCAGGCAGGAGGGAGCUGGAGGCUGACCCUCUGAGAUCCCAAGCUGUAGCAUCAAUGAGCCAGAGGGAAAAACAAAAACCAUAGAGAGAAAUAAACGCCACCGUUUGUUGGCAGCCUGAGUACACUGGCCUUGCUUCUCCUGGAAGACAGACACUUUUGCAGAAUCGUGAAGAGGCAGGAGAAGCAGUUCUACAGAAGUGAGUGGACGCUUGGUGACCUAGCUCCCCCGAGUGACUCCAACUGCACGUCCUCAGCCAGAGCCGCUCCAAGGACAGAGGCAAGCGAAACUCAAACCUAGAUUGGUUUUGUGAAGCUUGAAUGGUUCUGCGCUGGGGGAGAAGGCUCCGUGUGUCAAGGGCUUACCACGCACGUGUGAGGACCUGGGUUUGUGUCCCCAGCACCCGUGUGAAAGCCAGGUGUGGUGGCGCAUGUCUGCACUCCAGAGCUGGGGAGCUGGAGACAUGAGGGUCGUGGGGGUUUUCCGCUUGCCAGUCUAGCUGAAUUAGUGGGCUUUGGGUUCAGGGAGAGCCCCUGUCUCACUAGUAAGGGAGUGAGUGAUGGAGGAUGACAGCUGGUGUGGACCUCUGUUGUACACACACACACACACACACACACACACACACACACACACACGGGCACGCUCAUAAACUUGUACACAUACAUGUGUGUACAUUCAUGCGAGUGCAUCCGUGAGCGUGCUUGCACACACAUGCAUGCACACAUGAUGCACACUCACAAAUGCAUGCUCACACAGACACACAUGCACGCACACACACACACACAAUGCAUCGUAUUACAAUGUGUAUUUCUAGGUUCAGCCUUGCGAAUUUUUGCAAAAAACAGUCAACAACAGCUCAGCUUCUGUUCUGUAAGAAUUUCUUGGUAAAAGGAGCCAGUGAUCCUUGGAGACGAGGUUGAUUUUAGGAGCUUGCCAGAAAUUCGAGAGAUGACCCGGGUAUCCUGCUGUAUCAAAAUCCAGAAAGCCAGCUAAGCCUGCCUUGGCUGUCUGGAAAGUUCUCAGGUCCAACCUGCUGGCUUCCUCUGUGUGAAGUCAAGACUCUGGGAAGCAGCAAAAAGAAUGACUGUAGGGCUGGGGAGAGCCUCAGCGGCUUGCAGCACAAGGCUUGAGGGCCUGAGUUCGAAUCCCCACAAGGCACACGAAGCCAGGUACAGUAGCGUGUCUAUAACCUUGGUGCCUUAUGAGAUGGGAGAUAAAGAAGAAUCUCCCAGAAUCCUCUGGGCCUCCUGCCUGGCUUACACCGUGCGCAGAGGCCAUGGUGGAAGAUGAGGAAGAGAAGUUUCUCCGAAUGAUCUUUAUCUUACUGUGACAAAAUGCCUGCAGAAAUGGUUCCUGGGAGGAAGAGUUGGCUCUGACUUGUGGUUUCAGAGCCUCUUGGUCCACCAUGGUGGGGGAGGAAUGUAAGUGCCAUG